AACAUCUGGGGUUUAAAUUUUCAUAAUCUUAGACACCUUUCACAACAGGUGAGAAAUUGGGGGCCUCUUUGGACUCAUUCUUGCUUCUCGUUUGAAGACAUGAAUGGAUGUAUCAAAAAGUUGUCCCAUGGCACGGGCAAUGUCUUCUGCCAGAUUGCACGGAUGUUGUCCUAUGCAAAAGCAAGUGAAAUGAGUUUCAGUCCAAAACAUCUACCUCCGGCAAAUCUGCCACCAGAAGUUUACCAUUCUCUUCAGAGUACUCAACGUGAGAACUUAUAUUAACUUAACUUAGGCUUCGUGGUUUUGAUCUACAAGCUUGCGUACGAUAUUUCAAUCAGGUUUAGAACGCUCGGACCUGUUACAGAAAUUGACAAAGAAGACACAGUGCUAGCUUUAGCUAGAGAGUUAGGCGUUUCACGGGAAAAUCUACGUGAGUGUUCUACGAUUCAACGCCGGAAUACCGUCUUCUUUGCUAGAACUUACCAAGCUUUUCAGCGAAGGGACCCGACCGUUGUUUCUCUUGAAACAAAUAUGUGCGCCAUAGUGCAGAGGUGGCUUGUUGAUGUCAGCAAAACAAGCUGUACGCAGUUGUAGAGAUGCUGACAAUUGUGAAGAGAGAGCUUCCCCAAGAGGACAGAUAUCCGAUGCUGUUAGCUGUCUGCAAAAAUAGCAAAGCCAGUCAGAGAAUUGUCAGUCUAGAAAAUGUUCACGACAAAAUCGUCUUUAUCAAGACAAGCAGACAUUGCCCCCACAACUUCGUAAUAGGGAGACCAAACUCCUACGAAACUUUUUGAAUAUAUUACAGGGAUCGAGUCACGGGAGCGAUGGCCAAAUUACACGAAACGACAGGGAGUCACACGGAAUCACAAAUAAUUAUAACGAGUUUGUUAAUAUGACUUGGAUGCAUGUUACAAUAAUAAUGGGAAUCACGCAGACUACUCUACAUGUACGAGAGAUUACGCUGAUGAUAUUGUUUGUUUGUGUUUUAUAAUAAUAUAUGAUGUCGGAAGAUGAUAAUGAUGAUG